rnacentral:rRNA from 1 species
CCUACGGGAGGCAGCAGUGGGGAAUAUUGGACAAUAGGCGAAAGCCUGAUCCAGCCAUGCCGCGUGUGUGAAGAAGGUCUUCGGAUUGUAAAGCACUUUAAGUUGGGAGGAAGGGCUGUUACCGAAUACGUGACAGUUUUGACGUUACCGACAGAAUAAGCACCGGCUAACUUCGUG